AACUUUUCCUAUAUUGGUCGUUUUAUUCGUAAGAUUGAAUCCUCUAGGAUUUUUUCCUAAGGAAUCAUUUGUACUACAUUCCUUGUGCAGGUAGGUUCUGCUACUUUACACUUUGGUAGUUCUACAUACAGUCCCCACCAUAGUUUAAUGAGAUAGAAUUCCUUGAGGAUACCGUUGACGCGUUGUAGAAUGCAGUCAUGGUGGGCCGCGGAAGAUUGUAUCACUUGUGGGCCAAUUCACUGAGCGGGAUUGCAAACCUGAUAAACAGGCCCACGUUUCUCUAUCCCCCAUAGUUCAAUGUGUGAAGCUGAGUCUUGACGAAGGUUGAUGGAUGUUGCCAACCGCUUAGCUAAGUUUGAUGAGUACACAUGCCACAUAUGGAGAGUUGAAAUCUUGACUGACAAAGACAUCAAACGAUGUACUGUGCACAGUUACCCUGGGUUGCUAUCAGUAUAUCAGAUGGUGUCCAUCUGAAUGGAAACGGUGAGCAGUCUUAGACCACAUCUUGAAGGGAGCUUUGUACCGUCUGUGCUACUUAGUUUGCAUCAAUCAGAAAAGUCUGUUUCAACAAAAUAUAUCCUCAUGUUGCAGGCUGCCUAUGUUUUUUUCUUUGUGUUGUUUGA